GCCUCCGUAGUCAAACGGUUAACUUCACCAACUUUCGAGGGAGACGUCCCUUACGCAAUGAGGUGGUUAACAUGGGAAGCCGAGGGUUCGAUCCCCUCAGGAGGCA